AAAGAAUGAGAAUGGAAGGAGUUAUUUGUCAGAGGAUGUUGAUCGGUCCCAUGAUGGGGAGCAUUCUUCUCAUUUGACUACUGGGAGGAAUGAAUUGAAUGUUCGUGGUGGAUUGAGAAAGAAUGGGAAUGGAAGGAGGUAUAUAUCAGAAGAUGUUGAUCGGUCCCAUGAUGGGGAGCGUUCUUCUCAUUUGAGUACUGGGAGGAAUGAAAUGAAUGCUCAUGGUGGAUUGAGAAAGAAUGGGAAUGGGAGGAGGUAUUCGUCAGGGGCUGUUGAUCAGUCCCAUGAUUGGGAGCGUUCUUCUCAUUUGAGUACUGGGAGGAAUGAAAUGAAUGCUCGUGGUGGAUUGAGAAAGAAUGGGAAUGGGAGGAGGUAUUCGUCAGGGGAUGUUGAUCAGUCCCAUGAUAGGGAGCGUUCUUCUCAUUUGAGUACUGGGAGGAAU
rnacentral:lncRNA from 1 species